AGGUGGUGCAUGGUUGUCGUCAGCUCGUGUCGUGAGAUGUUGGGUUAAGUCCCGCAACGAGCGCAACCCUUAAGCUUAGUUGCCAUCAUUAAGUUGGGCACUCUAAGUUGACUGCCGGUGACAAACCGGAGGAAGGUGGGGAUGACGUCAAAUCAUCAUGCCCCUUAUGAUUUGGGCUACACACGUGCUACAAUGGACAAUACAAAGGGUAGCGAAACCGCGAGGUCAAGCAAAUCCCAUAAAGUUGUUCUCAGUUCGGAUUGUAGUCUGCAACUCGACUAUAUGAAGCUGGAAUCGCUAGUAAUCGUAGAUCAGCAUGCUACGGUGAAUACGUUCCCGGGUCUUG
rnacentral:rRNA from 1 species